CGACUCUCGGAAAUGAUAAUCAGCAAAAGGAACAAAUGGUUGCUUAGUAGCUUGACAAGCACAAAUUUGUACAGGAGUUAAUUAAAUGAAUGCUCACUCAAUUUCAUCAUGGGUUACUACUCGUUCUAUGAACAAAAACUGGUAACCCACUACGCACUCAUCUAUUUACACGUUUACACAUCCAUCACUCAUUUCCAAUAUGUUACCCUUAAUUAACGAAAAAUUCCAAGUAUACGACGAAAAAUUGAUGUGGCAGCUUAACGGCGUUUAUUUGUCCACUUGGAUUAAAGACAUACCCAACCAAAAUGACAAAUUUUUGUUUAAUUUCUGAAACACACUUCUUCUAAACCUUAAAAUCAAAAAACCCCCCAAAUUAAAAACAUAAAAUCACCCAAAUCAAAACUCCCAACAUAAAAUGCUAGAAUCAAAUUUCAUUGUUUCAAUCAAUGAAAACAAUAUGUCCAUGAAUUAUAUCCACCCAACUUCCAUAUUAAGAUUUGAUUCAAGAAGGAGAACAAAAAGGACAAUCAAAUUCUGGAAUAAAAUUAUCAAAUCCUGGAAAUGAA
rnacentral:lncRNA from 1 species